UACGUAGGGGGCUAGCGUUGUCCGGAAUCAUUGGGCGUAAAGCGCGUGUAGGCGGUCCGGUAAGUCCGCUGUGAAAGUCGGGGGCUCAACCCUCGAAUGCCGGUGGAUACUGUCGGGCUAGAGUGCGGAAGAGGCGAGUGGAAUUCCUGGUGUAGCGGUGAAAUGACGCAGAUAUCAGGAGGAACACCAAUUGCGAAGGCAGCUCGCUGGGACGGUACUGACGCUGAGACGCGAAAGCGUGGGGAGCAAACAGG
rnacentral:rRNA from 1 species